UACGUAGGUGGCAAGCGAUACUCGGAAUCACUAGGCGUAAAGCGCAGGUAGGCGGUUUGGUAAGUCUUUUUGUGAAAGCUCCCGGCUUAACUGGGAGAGGUCAAGGGAAACUACCGGACUAGAGUGUGGUAGGGGAUACUGGAAUUCCUGGUGUAGCGGUGAAAUGCGUAGAUAUCAGGAGGAAUACCUAUGGCGAAAGCAGGUAUCUGGGCCGAUCACUGACGCUGAGCUGCG
rnacentral:rRNA from 1 species